GCACCACAAGAACGCGUGGAGCAUGUGGCUUAAUUUGACUCAACGCGGGAAAUCUUACCGGGUCCGGACACACUGAGGAUUGACAGGCAAUAUCUCAUGGUUAUUAACCGGUUAAUGGUUAUUUAUUUAAUAGCCAGCGGUUAAUUAAGCAUCGAGUGUUAAAUAUGCUAGUCCUUUCAUGAUUAUGUGAUAGGUGGUGCAUGGCCGUUCUUAGUUCGUGGAGUGAUCUGUCUGCUUAAUUGCGUUUCACUAAGGGCCCAUAAAUUCAAGGUAUGUUAGCUAUCGCGCUCUAUGGACCCCUUAUUCACUGCUUUAAUUAGUUUGUUUAAGCGCGCGUCUUUAUUUAAUGAGUUUAAGACACUGCGCAUGCUGUUGGGCUCUGAAAGCAACGAACGUGACCGCAACGUCUUGUUGCCUUAAUAAAGUUGGCUUUAAAUACGAAUUCUAUUCGUAUUUAAAUAGCCGUUACAGAGGCUAUUUAAAACUAGACGGACCGCUGUUUCUUUUCUUAAACCAGAGGAAGGUUGCGG
rnacentral:rRNA from 1 species